CAGUAGCCGCGGUAAUACGUAGGGUGCAAGCGUUAAUCGGAAUUACUGGGCGUAAAGCGUGCGCAGGCGGUUAUAUAAGUCAGAUGUGAAAUCCCCGGGCUCAACCUGGGAACUGCAUUUGAGACUGUAUGGCUAAAGUGUGUCAGAGGGGGGUAGAAUUCCACGUGUAGCAGUGAAAUGCGUAGAUAUGUGGAGGAGUACCGAUGGCGAAGGCAGCCCCCUGGGAUAACACUGACGCUCAUGCACGAAAGCGUGGGGAGCAAACAGGAUUAGAUACCCCAGUAGUCCCUGUCUCUUAUAC
rnacentral:rRNA from 1 species